AGAAGGUGCUGACUUGAAUUGGUGGAGGGAGUUUCCUCACCUGGAAAUUCUCUACACUGGUGAAAUCACAAGUCUGGCAAACACAAAGAUACUUAAUAUGUUCAUGAUGUAUCAUGGUACAGUGGAAAGAGUGCUGAAUUUGGAGUCAAAAGUUCUGGGUUCGAAUCCUGUCUCUUCUAUUUAACUCAUUUAACUUCUCUGGGCCUCAGUUUCCUCUUCUGUAAUAUGACAGGGUUGGACUAGAUCAGGAGCAUCAAACAUGCAGACCGCUGGCCACAUCCCAGCCCACAACACUCCCGAGUGGAGACUGAAUUAGAUUAAAAUGUAAUCGGGAAAUAUUUAACAAAAACAAACAUAGAUAAUGUUAAUAUGUGAUUUUCUGUGCCUGCAGAGAUCCUUCCGUAUGGUUUAGUGGCCCCUGUUUGACAGCACUGGAGUGGAUGAAUGACCUCUAAGGUUGCUUCCAAAGUCCCUUUCACAAACUAGGAUUCUAAGAUGGCAUACGCACUUAACAUUUAAGUGCUCUGACACUCAGCGAUUCAAUAAUUCUGGGUUACAUGCUGUGUACAGGGAUGUUCCAAAGUAAGAACUGGAUAGAAAACGCUCAGACAUCCUGGAAGAAGAGUGACUCCCUCCCCACCCCCCAAAACAACAACAACAAUAACCAGGAAUGCCCAAGUGAAGAGCUCUUCUUCCUCUAGCCCAGUGGGUCUCAAACAUGGUGAACACUUCCAUCAUUUCAGCUUGGCUUGUCGUUUCCUUCCAGUCCUUGACUUCUAGAAGACAGACAUAAUAUUCUUACGAUCAUUAUUGGUAAUAAUAAGCUAGCAAUUCUUACAUUUCUACCUUAAUUCUUUAUGGGGCCACGAUUUCAUCCAUGUGACCAUUCCCUUUGGUGCUAAGUGUAAUACACCCACAUCUCAUCCAGUGUACUUCUUGCCUCUGCUCUCCCAUAGACACUGCAAAAGAUUUCUCCAACAAAUGAAAGGCCUUCCCUUGGGUCUCUUGGCAUUUUGUGGGUACCAGUACACACCAACUGUCAUCAUCCCUCAAUGUCUCUGCCAUGUUUGGCCUACCUCCUUUUCCCACGAUUCAUUUCCCUUCUUACUGUCAAGGGCACCACCAUCCUCUUGAUGGGGUACUCGGGCCCCAGCCCUAAGAUUAUGUCUCUGAACGCCUCCCAAUUUCUCAGUAGGCCCACUUCCUGUGAGAAAAUAGGCUCUUGUUGCAGAAUACAUUCUCUUAUCAGAGCAAAAACGGGGGUGCCUGGCCCAAGGACUUUUGUCCCUGGCUGGCCCAAAGACUCUAUCUCCCUCCUGGCUCCAGAUCCCCAAGGUUCAUGCCUCUGACAGCUCCCUUAAUGUCUGGUGUACUCCCUAUACUUUUCCAUCCAUAAAUCCCAAAGACACCUGAAUCCCUUAGGUCACCUGAUGAGUAUCCCUGGCAUUCCUUGCCCAUUCCCCUUUUCCAUAUAAACCCCAGCACCAUCUUCAGUCUCUCCCAGGUUCCCUUAAGGACCCAUGCCCGCUUUUGCUAGAGCGUUACAAUAAACUUUUUGCCACUUGACUAAGA